UUGGAGGGCAAGUCUGGUGCCAGCAGCCGCGGUAAUUCCAGCUCCAAUAGCGUAUAUUAAAGUUGUUGCAGUUAAAAAGCUCGUAGUUGAACUUCGGGGUCUACCCAUUGGUCAGGCUUAAUUGUCUGUACUGGUGAGAUGGAUCUCUACCUUCUGAGGAACUUUCAUGCCAUUUAUUUGGUGUGGUUGGAAAUCAGGACUGUUACUUUGAAAAAAUUGGAGUGUUUAAAGCAGACUAUCGUCUGAAUACAUUAGCAUGGAAUAAUGAAAUAGGACGGACUGAUUCUAUUUCGUUGGUUUCUAGGAUCACCGUAAUGAUUAAUAGGGAUAGUUGGGGGCAUUAGUAUUCAAUUGUCAGAGGUGAAAUUCUUGGAUUUAUUGAAGACUAACUACUGCGAAAGCAUUUGCCAAGGAUGUUUUCAUUAAUCAAGAACGAAAGUUAGGGGAUCGAAGACGAUCAGAUACCGUCGUAGUCUUAACCAUAAACUAUGCCGACUAGGGAUCGGACGAAGUUAAUUUUAUAAUGACGCGUUCGGCGCCUUACGGGAAAC
rnacentral:rRNA from 1 species